AUUGAACGCUGGCGGCAGGCCUAACACAUGCAAGUCGAGCGAGCGGCGGACGGGUGAGUAAUGUAUGGGGACUGCCCGAUAGAGGGGGAUAACUACUGGAAACGGUAGCUAAUACCCCAUACUGGUGUACAACCCAUAUGGGAUUAGCUAUUAGGUAAGGUAAUGGCUUACCUAGGCGACGAUCCCUAGCUGGGCUGAGAGGAUGAUCAGCCACACUGGUACUGAGACACGGCCCAGACUCCGACGGAGGCAGCAGUGGGGAAUAGUGCACAAUGGGCGCAAGCCUGAUGCAGCCAUGCCGCGUGUAUGAAGAAGGCCCUAGGGUUGUAAAGUACUUUCAGUCGGGAGGCGUUACCGACAGAAGAAGCACCGGCUAACUCCGUGCCAGCAGCCGCGGUAAUAC
rnacentral:rRNA from 1 species